rnacentral:rRNA from 1 species
UACGUAGGAGCCAAGCGUUGUCCGGAUUGACUGGGCGUAAAGCGCACGCAGGCGGUCUGGCGCGUGGGGUGUGAAAUCUGGCCGCUUAACGGCCAGGCGCAUCCCAUACGGCCGGACUGGAGCCUUGCAGAGGUCGGUGGAAUUGCCGGUGUAGUGGUGAAAUGCGUAGAGAUCGGCAGGAACACCCAGGGGGAAACCAGCGACUG